UUACGAUGAUUCUAAAUUUUGAAAAGGUUUCUUGCAACUCCGUAAAUGCUACUAAAUAUUUAAUUUUAGCACAUGAAGGGUUUAACAUAAAGUGAUCGGAACUUUUUUGUUUUAUAUAAUACAAAAUAAGGAGAAAUGUCUAAAGUUCUCUUGAUUAUUUGUGUUGUUGUCCUCUUUAUUUCCCUCUUUCUUGUGUCCUACGGCAAUGGUUGCAUUUUUGACUUUGAUUGUCCAAGUUAUGAAUGUGGCCUUGGGGGAAUUGGGACGUGCUUUUCUUGGAAAUGUAAAUGUUCGUAUAAAAUUGAAGUAAAAUACAACUUUUAAGUUACAACUAUGAGGAAAAAAGUUGAAAUGGUGACAUACAUUUAGAGAUGCAAAAUGGAAAAAUUGACUCCAAAUUUGUAGUAAGUGUUUGAGAAACUAAAUUAAUUGACCAAUUUUAUAUUUUCAUCUCUAACUUUAGUUGACAUUUCAACUUUUUAUAGUAGUGCCACUUGUAAGUUAUUAUAGUACUUUAUUCUACGUUUCAAAUUAGCAAAAUAUAUGGUGUGCAAUAUAAGUACCUAAAUAUAAAAUCAUUAUUAUUAUAACUAGCUAAAGCUCGAUAGAAGCAUUAUGGUA